AACGAACGCUGGCGGCAUGCCUAACACAUGCAAGUCGAACGAGACCUUCGGUUCUAGUGGCGCACGGGUGCGUAACGCGUGGGAACCUGCCCUUAGCUUCGGAAUAACACCCCGCAAGGGGUGCUAAUACCGGGUAAUGUUUUCGGACCAAAGAUUUAUCGCCUUUGGAUGGGCCCGCGUUGGAUUAGCUAGAUGGUAGGGUAAAAGCCUACCAAGGCGACGAUCCAUAGCUGGUCUGAGCGGAUGAUCAGCCACACUGGGACUGAGACACGGCCCAGACCUGUAGGGGCGGCAGCAGUCGGGACUAUUAGUGUACGGGCGCAGGCCUGAUCCAGCCAUGCCGCGUGAGGGACGAGGGCGUUAGGGUUGUAAAGCCCUUUCACGCGCUAUGAUAAUGACAGUACCGGGCGCAUAAGCUCGGCCUCACCCCUGG
rnacentral:rRNA from 1 species